rnacentral:misc_RNA from 1 species
GAUGAAGAACGUAGCGAAAUGCGAUAAGUAGUGUGAAUUGCAGAAUUCAGCGAAUCAUCGAAUCUUUGAACGCACAUUGCGCCCCUUGGUAUUCCAUGGGGCAUGCCUGUUCGAGCGUCAUUUGUACCUUCAAGCUUUGCUUGGUGUUGGGUGUUUGUCCUGAGGGACUCGCCUUAAAGUAAUUGGCAGCCAGUGUUUUGGUUUUGAAGCGCAGCACAAGUCGCGAUUCAAGGCUAUACGCCAGCUUCCACAAGCCUUUUUCACUUUUGACCUCGGAUCAGGUAGGGAUACCCGCUGAACUUAAGCAUAUCAAUAAGCGGAGGA